rnacentral:rRNA from 1 species
UGGGGAAUAUUGCACAAUGGGCGCAAGCCUGAUGCAGCAACGCCGCGUGAACGAUGAAGGUCUUCGGAUCGUAAAGUUCUGUUGCAGGGGAAGAUAAUGACGGUACCCUGUGAGGAAGCCCCGGCUAACUACGUGCCAGCAGCCGCGGUAAUACGUAGGGGGCUAGCGUUAUCCGGAUUUACUGGGCGUAAAGGGUGCGUAGGUGGUCUUUCAAGUCGGUGGUUAAAGGCUACGGCUCAACCGUAGUUAGCCUCCGAAACUGGAAGACUUGAGUGCAGGAGAGGAAAGUGGAAUUCCCAGUGUAGCGGUGAAAUGCGUAGAUAUAUGGAAGAACACCAGUGGCGAAAGCGACUUUCUGGUCUGUCACUGACGCUGAGGCCCGAAAGCGUGGGUAGCAAACAGG